UACAGAGGGGGCGAGCGUUGUUCGGAAUUACUGGGCGUAAAGGGCGCGUAGGCGGCCUUCUAAGUCGAACGUGAAAUCCCCGGGCUCAACCCGGGAACUGCGUCCGAUACUGGGAGGCUUGAAUCCGGGAGAGGGAUGUGGAAUUCCAGGUGUAGCGGUGAAAUGCGUAGAUAUCGGAAGGAACAUCAGUGGCGAAAGCGGCUUCCUGGACCAGCACCGACGUUCAGGCACGAAAGCGUGGGGAGCAAACAGG
rnacentral:rRNA from 1 species